AGUGAACGCUGGCGGUAGGCCUAACACAUGCAAGUCGAACGGCAGCACAGUAAGAGCUUGCCCUUACGGGUGGCGAGUGGCGGACGGGUGAGGAAUACAUCGGAUUCUACUUUUUCGUGGGGGAUAACGUAGGGAAACUUACGCUAAUACCUCAUACGAUCUACGGGUGAAUUCAGUGGAUCUUCGGACCUUGCGCGAUUGAAUGAGCCGAUGUCGGAUUAGCUAGUUGGCGGGGUAAAGGCCCACCAAGGCGACGAUCCGUAGCUGGUCUGAGAGGAUGAUCAGCCACACUGGAACUGAGACACGGUCCAGACUCCUAAGGGAGGCAACAGUGGGGAAUAUUGGAGAAUGGGGGGAAGCCUGAUCCAGCCAUAGCGCGUGGGUGAAGAAGGCCUUCGGGUUGUAAAGCCCUUUUGUUGGGAAAGAAAAGCAGCAGGUUAAUACCCCGCUGUUCUGAAGGUAACCAAAGAAUAAGCACCGGCUAACUUCGUG
rnacentral:rRNA from 1 species